ACGCACAACAAUGUAUCUUUUAAGCAGCAUGGAUCGUAUACCGUGGAGCCCUCACUCCAAUUGUGAACAACUGCAAGUAAUUGAUUCAUGUUGGGUUCUAGGAACUAUGUUGAAGUGAGCUGUGAAGCUUGAUGUAGUACAUUGCCAGUUGCCACCAUCCUCUGACAUGUUGCGGCCAAAGAACUACGUUGAACAAGAGAACAUGGCUAUGCUGUACAAAGUACGAGACACACUGGAGGUUGCAACUAUUAAACAUACGGGCAGCACUGUAGCAAAGACAAAAAUGGACCCCUACUGUGCUCCUACUUUUAUAUUUGUACCAAUGCAAGCUGUGGUGUCCAACCAAGAUGACAUAUUGCUGAUUUAUCGAGGUCAUAGUUCAGUUUUCCAUAUUAAAAAA